GUUUGAGAUUUGAGAGGGGCUGCUCCUAGUACGAGAGGACCGGAGUGGACGAACCUCUGGUGUUCCGGUUGUCACGCCAGUGGCAUUGCCGGGUAGCUAUGUUCGGAAAAGAUAACCGCUGAAAGUGACCAUAUAA
rnacentral:rRNA from 1 species